rnacentral:rRNA from 1 species
CACGUAGGGCGCAAGCGUUGUCCGGAAUUAUUGGGCGUAAAGCGCACGUAGGCGGUAUUGCAAGUCGGAUGUGAAAUCCCUCGGCUUAACCAAGGAAGUGCAUCCGAAACUGCUGUACUUGAGUACGAAAGAGGAUCGCGGAAUUCCUGGUGUAGAGGUGAAAUUCGUAGAUAUCGGGAGGAACACCAGUGGCGAAGGCGGCGAUCUGGGUCGAUACUGACGCUGAGGUGCGAAAGCGUGGGGAGCAAACAGG